rnacentral:tRNA from 1 species
CAGAAAAUAGUUUCAAUAAGAAUCCUAGCUUUGGGAGCUGGGGGUGAGGGUUGAAUUCCCUCUUUUCUGA